GGGAAUGUGGCUUAGUGGUAGAGUGCUUGUCUAGUGUGCAAGAAGCCCUGGGUUCGAUUCCUCAGUACCA
rnacentral:tRNA from 1 species